rnacentral:rRNA from 1 species
GUGCAGCAGGCGAGAAACCUCCGCAAUGCGGGAAACCGUGACGGGGUCACCCCGAGUGCCACCCGAUGAGGGUGGCUUUUCCCCGGUCUAAAAAGCCGGGGGCAAUAAGCGGGGGGCAAGUCUGGUGUCAGCCGCCGCGGUAAUACCAGCCCCGCGAGUGGUCGGGACGUUUAUUGGGCCUAAAGCGUCCGUAGCCGGCUCGGUAAGUCCCUCCUUAAAUCCACGGGCUCAACCCGUGGGCUGGGAGGGAUACUGCCGGGCUAGGGGGCGGGAGAGGCCGAGGGUACUCCCGGGGUAGGGGCGAAAUCCGUUAAUCCCGGGAGGACCACCAGUGGCGAAGGCGCUCGGCUGGAACGCGCCCGACGGUGAGGGACGAAAGCUGGGGGAGCAAAGGGGAUUAGAUACCCGGGUAGU